UAUAUUUAUAUUUAUUAUUAAUUAUUAUUCAUAUUUAAUCUUUAAGUAUAAAAUCGUAUGUAUCGAUUAAAUCAGUCUUAGGAUAUAAGUUAUUUGAACACAUUCUAUCAAACAUUUCUUUGGAUGGCACAAAAUCGACGCAAAUACCUCUACCAUGUUCUUUUAUACAUUCACUGGUCAUUAAGGUUGCGGAAACAGUUGAAGAAGAAUAUUUUCAUGGUCUUCGGGAUUCAAUUCUCCUAAUGGUGUUUGAAGAACAUACUUUUUAUUCAUAUAAUACAUCAAUAUUUCUUUAAAUGUGAAUUCCAUUUUUUCGUGCAAAUUGGGCAAAAUAACCUUUUCUGUUUGAAAAUAUUGAUUUAAAUAGCCAUUUAUCGGUGAAAAAUAAUCUUAGAGCUUCCCAUUGCUCUAAAAUACGAUUUACUACUUCUAGAAGCGAUAACCAACGGGUCUGUGAUGGAUGUAAUAUUUUAUGUACCUUUAUACUACAAAAGUUUUGGAAUUCAACAAAGUUGAACAAAGUUUCAACAAGUUUGGGUGUACACACUAUAGUUCUCAAAGUCCCUUCAUUAUAUAAAGUUAAAUAUACAAUUUAUUGGGGUUUAACAUAUAUAGGUAUGUUCAGAAAUUAACAUAUUAACUUCAACUCAACAACUAAUUUCUGUAAAAAAAAGUGUAGGUAACUAAAUAACAUGUACUGGAAAUAAUAGGUUUGUUAUGAUAAUGAAUAACAAAUUUAUAUAAAUAUAAAAUAAAUCCUUUAUUGUCAAACAUUUUUAAAUCAUUAACUUAAUGUAUAAUAUACUAUAAUAGAGACAAUAAUAAAUAACAAAUAAAUAAAUAUAUUUAUAAUAUUUUAAACAAAAAUUCAAAUUUUGGUGAAAUUUUGGAUAAAUGAAUUGCCCAGAUUAUCGUAUUUUAGAGUACGAUAAUCGUACAUCGUACAUUAGCCUGAAUUAUCGUACAUGUACGAUACAAACCGUACGUCUGGCAACACUGGAUACGACAGACAAUUGUCACUUAUAAUGUAUUAUACAGUAAUAUUAAACAGUUAUUAUUUUUUUAAUCAAACUUAAUUAGCACGUUUUAGGCUUUGACAAUUAUUGAACGGAAAAACGUGCUUGUUGGCCGUUACCUGGAAUUUGGAAAUCUGCAAGCCCGCAAAUUUUAUAAUACCGAAAAUUCAUGUGUACCAACAACGAAAAGUGAAAAUCCCAUUUAUCAGUUUUUUCCGUCUUACAUAUUCUGUAAGACGGAGACAACUUACACACGCGGGUAGCGCCCUCUUAACGUUUACCCGUUACCACAAUAUUCCGACUAGUUGAAAAUAUUAUAAUAUUCAAAAAUUGUAAUUAAUUGAAACUUUUAACCAUAAUAUUUAAUAAUAACAUAAACAUUUUACUGAGUGAUACGCGUGCCAUAGGAGUGCUGUGACAGGGCGUGCCCUGUAUUCUAAAAAUUUCCAUGAGCCGAAUCGGCCUCAGACACGCCGCUAGAAUUUUUUUCCAGGGGGGGCAGAGUGGGACAAAUUUUUUUUUUACAUGGGCUAAGGUUUUUUCAACAAACACUGAGUUUAAUAAAUAAAAUAUAAAUAUUUUCGUAUCAUAUAACAUAAUAUAGGUGUUAUAGCACAAAAAUGUGCUGCACUGCUCCUCGGAUAUGAACUUACGAGACCUAGGACUAUGCCUAAAUUACCAAAAGUCAAUUUUAGAUAAUACUUUAAAAGUGAAUUUGAAAAAAAUGUAAUAAUUCGCUUUGUGCACUACCUACGUAGUUGAAAGUUAUUAUAGGUACCUACAGUAGUUCAAGAUCAUUAUAUUUGUUAUACUCUAUUUGAUUUGACUAGUACCUGUACAAUAUAAAAUGUUUAUAUACCUAAUAAAAU